UACGUAGGGGGGCAAGCGUUGUCCGGAUUCAUUGGGCGUAAAGAGCGUGUAGGCGGCCAGGUAGGUCGGUUGUGAAAACUGGAGGCUCAACCUUCAGAGGUCGACCGAAACCAUCUGGCUAGAGUCCGGUAGGGGAGUGCGGAAUUCCCGGUGUAGCGGUGAAAUGCGCAGAUAUCGGGAGGAACACCAGUGGCGAAGGCGGCACUCUGGGCCGGAACUGACGCUGAGGAGCGAAAGCGUGGGGAGCGAACAGG
rnacentral:rRNA from 1 species